CGUAGGGACAAGCGUUGUCCGGAAUCAUUGGGCGUAAAGCGCGUGUAGGCGGUCCGGUAAGUCGGUUGUGAAAGUCCAGGGCUCAACCCUGGGAUGCCGAUCGAUACUGCCGGACUAGAGUCCGGAAGAGGCGAGUGGAAUUCCCGGUGUAGCGGUGAAAUGCGCAGAUAUCGGGAGGAACACCAAUGGCGAAGGCAGCUCGCUGGGACGGUACUGACGCUGAGACGCGAAAGCGUGGGGAGCAAACAGGAUU
rnacentral:rRNA from 1 species